rnacentral:rRNA from 1 species
AUUGAACGCUGGCGGCAUGCUUUACACAUGCAAGUCGAGCGGCAGCGCGGGGCAACCUGGCGGCGAGCGGCGAACGGGUGAGGAAUACAUCGGAACGUACCCGGAAGUGGGGGAUAACGCCGCGAAGGCGGCGCUAAUACCGCAUAUUCUGUACGCAGGAAAGUGGGGGACCGCAAGGCCUCACGCUUUCGGAGCGGCCGAUGUCGGAUUAGCUAGUUGGUGGGGUAAAGGCUUACCAAGGCGACGAUCCGUAGCUGGUCUGAGAGGAUGAUCAGCCACACUGGGACUGAGACACGGCCCAGACGCCUACGGGAGGCAGCAGUGGGGAAUUUUGGACAAUGGGGGCAACCCUGAUCCGGCCAUGCCGCGUGCGGGAAGAAGGCCUUCGGGUUGUAAACCGCUUUUAGCCGGGAAGAAAAGGCACGGGACAAUACCCCGUGUUCUUGACGGUACCGGCGGAAUAAGCACCGGCUAACUACGUGCCAGCCGCCGCAGUAAUAC